rnacentral:rRNA from 1 species
ACGACUCUCGGCAACGGAUAUCUCGGCUCUCGCAUCGAUGAAGAACGUAGCGAAAUGCGAUACUUGGUGUGAAUUGCAGAAUCCCGUGAACCAUCGAGUCUUUGAACGCAAGUUGCGCCCGAGGCCUACUGGCCGAGGGCACGUCCGCCUGGGUGUCAUGC